AAGUCGAGCGGCAGGGGGGAGCAAUCNUCNUGAGAGCGGCGGACUGGUGAGUAACGCGUGGGUGACNUACCUUAAGGUUGGGGAUAGCCGUUAGGAAUAGCGGGUAAUACCGAAUGUGGUUGCCGGGCAGUGGUCUGGCAAAGAAAGGGGCUCAGGCCCCGCCUUGAGAUGGGCCCGCGUUCCAUUAGCUAGUUGGGGGUGUAACGGACCACCAAGGCGAUGAUGGGUAGCCGGCCUGAGAGGGUGAACGGCCACACUGGGACUGAGAUACGGCCCAGACUCCUACGGGAGGCAGCAGCUAAGAAUAUUCCGCAAUGGGCGAAAGCCUGACGGAGCGACGCCGCGUGGAUGAGGAAGGCCGAAAGGUUGUAAAAUCCUUUUGUUGCUGAAGAAUAAGCGGGGGAGGGAAUGCCCCUGUGAUGACAUUAGGCGAUGAAUAAGCCCCGGCUAAUUACGUGCCAGCAGCCGCGGUAACACGUAAGGGGCGAGCGUUGUUCGGAAUUAUUGGGCGUAAAGGGCACGUAGGCGGUUUUAUAAGCCUGAUGUGAAAGGCCGGGGCUUAACCCCGGGACUGCGUUAGGAACUGUAGGACUUGAGUCAUGGAGGGGGAGUUGGAAUUCCAGGUGUAGGGGUGAAAUCUGUAGAUAUCUGGAAGAACACCGGUGCGAAGGCGAAC
rnacentral:rRNA from 1 species